UAAUACUAAUAUGUCAAAAAAUUAAAGGGAUAGUAAAAAAUUUACAGUUAAAUACGAGUGACAUAACCUAGCAUAGACAACCUAAGAAAAUGGUUUCAGGUAUAAAAAUUUUCUCCUCCAUUUACAAGGUAAGAAAUUACUCCUCGGUCAAGCGUAAUUUCACAGCUGGGAAAGUGAUCUUUAAUAAACCAAGAUCUCAAAGUUCGGGGUCGGUUCCAGACGUGCCAGGGCUUAGCCAGAAUGUUGUAAAAGUUGCAAGCGAACCUGUAGGGCCAGGUGCUUCAAAAACUUCAGACUACAAGAAUCCUGAAUAUUUCUGUUAUGACAAGAACAGUUACUUCGAAGCUGAAGUAGAAAUAUUGAAAUAUAGGUGCCCACAACCGUCUGUCUAUGAAUAUUACAAACAUACUGAGCCCAAGUAAUUAGAAAAAGAGACAGCAAUAGAAAGAAAUAUGUAUUUAUGUAUAUUAUUUUGUUUAUUGAAUAAAGGUAUGUGAUAAAACAUUAAAAAGAUUUA